GAUGAACGCUGGCGGCGUGCCUAACACAUGCAAGUCGAGCGGAGAUAUUCGCCGAGGAGACUUCGGUCAAAUCAUGGAUAUCUUAGCGGCGGAUGGGUGAGGAACGCGUGGGCAACCUGCCCUUCACAGGGGGAUAACAGUUGGAAACGACUGUUAAUACCGCAUAUGCUCACAGCACCGCAUGGUGCAGGGAGGAAAGCCGAGACGGUGAAGGAUGGACCCGCGUCGGAUUAGCCAGUUGGUGAGGUAACGGCCCACCAAAGCGAUGAUCCGUAGCCGGCCUGAGAGGGCGACCGGCCACAUUGGGACUGAGACACGGCCCAAACUCC
rnacentral:rRNA from 1 species